GGGGAGUUCAUCGCCAGGAUUGACGGGGCAUGAGACAGAGAAGGCUCUGACUGCACUGGACUGGGCAAAUGCAUGUGAAUAUGGCUUGGUUCUGAAUUCAAAAGGAAGCUGCAUUCAGGGAUAAACUUACCCUCUCCCCGUCAUCUCCGGGUGCUCCUGGUGGACCUGAUGGGCCUGGAUCACCCUAGGAAUAUUGUCGCCAGGAUGCUGUGGAAAUGAGAACUUACCCUGUGCCCCUUCUCACCAGGCAAACCAGCCAACCCAUCAAAACCUCGGUCACCCUACAAGAAAAGACAAGGCAGCAUGAGCAUUGUCCCUGGUGGUCCUGGUAACCCAUCUGCUCCUGGAAGACCUG